GAUGGGGUUUGAUCAUUUGUUGGAUCAGCAAAUGGCUUCAGAAACUUGCUGAAGUUUGCAAUUGGUUGUGAGGACAGGCACACACUUCAAACAAGGACUGUUCUGUUCAGAGGCCUUGUUUGUUUAAAUCCCCACGUGAAAUCUCUUCAGCUUCUUCUCAAAGUUGUAUUUGGAUCAGUUUGCUGUGGUAGUAAAUUUGAAAUACAAUGAUUAGCUGUACGGCAAUGGGAGGCCUACUCAAAUAUCUGGGACCUCCAAAUGGAAAGCUUGUUUCCUGUGGGAUCUGAAGAAAUGCUUUCUCAGUCGUGGUAAAACUAGUAGCAUUCCUGAAGGUGGUCGCAUGUCCUGGGCGCUGCAUCCUCCCUUUGUCUCUGGUACCUCUCCAGCUGCGUGUGCACUGGAUAUAGAUGUCAGGCUGCAUGCGUCUGGCACAGGAAUAACAGAUCUGGGGGGCAGCCCUUUGUCAGUGACAAAUACUUCGGCUGUCACCGUGCCCCCAGGAUCUGUUUCUCAUUGGCAGUCAACC